rnacentral:lncRNA from 1 species
GAUGGUAGAUAUAGGAGAGAGUUUGUGCUUAUACGGGGAAUCGGUUUUAGAAUAUGCGUCCAAACAUAUUCCCCUUAGCCUUGGUGAGCUCAUUGACCGUGCUUCUUGAUGAGCUGUUACCAUUCCAUUUCCCUACAAUAACCAAACAGCAAAUCCAAGUUGGCCAUUCCCAAGCAUUUCCCUACAACUUUAUUCCACAUGGCCCAAGACUUUCAAUGCAGCAAACCAAUUCCAAAAUUCUCUUUCAAAUUCAAAUUCCCGUUCAAUAAUUAUUGCACCCAAAAACCAUUUUUCAUUUUUCUUUUACUCAAUAGCGCCUUUUCAUAUGGGCAGAAAACCCAACAGUUUUUGCUAAAAAUUAUCCCACAAUUUUUAUACUUAGUUACUAGUUUACCCGUGAAUCGGUGAAAAGAGAAAAAAAUGGGAAAUCAUGGGCAAAAUCGGAAGUCAAAUUGGAUAUGGUUACUUUAACUAAGAAAUAGUAAAAUUUUCUUUUGUUUUUUUGGCAAGAAAGUGAACGCUAUACAAGCAUGAUAUGAGUUAUAUAAGAAACUUGACUUUGUAGCACUUUCUACUAUUUUCAGCUUGUUCUUCCUUUUCUUGUUAUAAUUUGUUAAAAUUAAAUGACAUUUUCAAGGUUAUGUUUAUGGCUUUUAUGUAACGAAAUGAAAUGCAAAAACCAUCGCCCAUUAAAAAAGGCUAAUGAUUUUUACACUUCCAUUAUACAUCCUGAAUGUUGUUUUCCUGCAGACUUGUGAUAUUAAUAUACUAGCUUUAUCAGCAAGAAGUUGUGGGCCAAAACUCACAUUAUUGUGCUGUUCAGCUACAACACUCGAAUAUAUAAUCGAUUUAUGGGUGUGAAUGCGAUUCCUCUCUCGCUAAUUACCCCUCUCUCUCUCUCUCUCUCUCUCUCUCACACACACAGACAUCUGAUUUCAUUCUUCAUGAAUUCUGCACACACUUUGUUGUUUCCUUCCUGUUUAACGUAGAGGAGUUGGAGAAGAUAGAAGGAGAGCUCAAAGGGAAAGCCAAGUAUUUUGGAGGGGAGGGAAAUAUUGGGUAUAAUGGAGGUUAUGAAAUAGACUUUGUGGUAUCACAAAAAAACAAAUGAGCAAGUCAACAAGAGAGCUCGGAUCGAAUCAAUCUAUCGUAUCAAUACCGAUUUUAUAAUUCUUUUCAGGAAGAAGCGGUAAUUCGGAAUGAUAAGAUCCAAGAAAUUAGCAUAAAAUUUAAUGAUUCGUGGGUAUUUGAUGAGUGCAACGAGGCAUCAGAGAAUAGUCCCUUAUAGAGAAAUUGGAAUAAGUUUGGCAGCCGAUCACGAAUUUUUGGUGAUCUUCUAUAUCUAAUAAAUAAUUAGAGUAAAAAUUAGGAUAAAAAGUAAAGUGAAAGAUAAAAAUGAGGAAGAAUAAAUUAUUUUCUUGUAUGUAUUUGAUUGAAAUUAUUUUUUGGCAACCACGUGUAAAAACUUCUAUAUGUAGUUACUAAAAUUUACCCAUAAAUUUAUGAAAAGAAAGAGGAAACGUGGGAAAUCGUAGCAAAAUCGGAAGUCGAAUUUGAGUUGGUUACUUUCACUGAAAAUAUAACUUUGAAAUGAGUUAGGUAAGAUUACACUAUUUUCAUGCUAAACAAAUUUUUAAAAAUAUUAUAUCUUUUUUCUCUUUCAUGCAUUUUUUGUUGGAAAAAGUUUGUUGGGGUUUUUAAAAAAAUAUUAUAUCUUUUUUCACUUUCAUGCAUUUUUUUGUUGGAAAAAGUUUAUUGGGUUUUCUUAAAACAAACAUAAAGUUUCAACAUAAAUAUAAAAAGUUAAAUGACAACAGAUAAUUAAAAAGAUAGAUUAUAAUAACAUUUUUAUAAACUUACAAGAAUGUAAAAUAAACCGUAAAAUGUAAUGGCUAUGCUUGAAUUAGAUUCAGUGUCUCUAAGUCGUUUUAUGCCCCACACUUGGUACUCUCAGAAUACUACGAACGACUCUCAUAAUACAACAAUUUUGAUCUUUUGAUAAUAAUACUCCAGAUCAAAAGAUUACGGCAAACCUGUAUACUAAAAUGUUGGAUGGUAAGCAAUUUCAACACUUCAUUCUAUUUUUCAAUUGUCUAUCAAAUCAAUCAAUCAAGAAUGAUGUUUUUCUGAAUGGUCACAGCUUUUCGAAGAGGUAUUAUGUCUUUAUGGUCACACCUCUUACAUAAGGUACUCAUUUUUUUUUCUGUACACACACUGUUUCACUAUGCGGAUCAGUAAUGCAAGAAUGAGAAAUCUACUCAUAAUUCUGGAGAAGGAUAUUGGUGCAUCUAGAAAACAACUAGCAAUACUAUCAUUAAUUCACAAAUUGAGAAAAAAUUUAGGAUGGGUUAUGAUUUUCGCACUCUCUUUAUUAUCAAAUGCAGUUUAUUUAUUUAUUGUUGUUUUAUUACGUAGUUUUUAAAUAAAUGUAUAAACUCACCUUCUCUAGAGAAGAAACAAAGUAAAAAUACAAGAGAAUAAAGGGAGGCAAUUUUGUUAAUUACAUAGAAGAAAAGAAAACAGUGAAAGGAUUGCGUGAGCCGUGACCUAAACUAUCCAAACGAGUCAAAAUUGCCGUCUAAGACAAGUCUUAAACCCUUUUACUAGCAACUAAGCACCACACAUAAGCCUUGCCCCCAUGGCGUAGCUCAAUUGGUUCACAGGUGGUAAAUUGCCACCAAAAGCGCAGGUUCGAGUCAUGGCAGCCGCAGCGUGAGAGUUACACUCAAAAUUGGGUUGGCUCCUUGUGAGCACUAUACACUGAGCCUCCACCUAUUGGGCCGCUGAGUACCUGAUUUACCUGCCAUGCUAUCCCCUUGGUGCUGGGCUGCAUGGCCCGGCUAAGGUGUCCAGCCAUACACCUUUUGCCACCAAAAGCACCACACAUAAGCCUCUCUCUCUCUCUCUAAAAUGAUAAAGCUUGUGGGAUUCUGGUUGAGCCCAUUUGUUUUGAGAGUGAGUUGGGCUCUGAAACUGAAGGGUGUUGAGUAUGAGUACAUUGAAGAAGACAUCUUCAACAAGAGUCCUCUGCUUCUGGAGCUGAACCCAGUCCACAAGAAAGUACCUGUGCUGGUUCAUGGCCAUAAUGUGAUAGUUGAGUCCCUUGUGAUACUAGAGUACAUUGAUGAGACUUGGAAACAGUACCCCUUGUUGCCUCAAGAGCCUUGUGACAGAGCCAAUGCAAGGUUUUGGGCCAAGUUCGCUGAGGAAAAGGUGAUUAUUUCCUUGCUUUAAUUUUUGCUAACAUCGAUCUGCUUUUUCAAUUUUCUCUUUUUUGCUACAUUAUGUAGGUAGAUUUACUCAUUGAAAUUGGUUACUCAUAUACAGAGAUUAAUUACUAUAGUUUCAAUCACC